GACGAACGCUGGCGGCGUGCUUAACACAUGCAAGUCGAACGGAAAGGCCCUGCUUUUGUGGGGUGCUCGAGUGGCGAACGGGUGAGUAACACGUGAGUAACCUGCCCUUGACUUUGGGAUAACUUCAGGAAACUGGGGCUCAUACCGGAUAGGAGCUCCUGCUGCAUGGUGGGGGUUGGAAAGUUUCGGCGGUUGGGGCUGGAAUCGCGGCUUAUCAGCUUGUUGGUGGGGUAGUGGCUUACCAAGGCUUUGACGGGUAGCCGGCCUGAGCGGGUGACCGGCCACAUUGGGACUGAGGGACGGCCCAGACUCCUACGGGAGGCAGCAGUGGGGAAUAUUGCACAAUGGGCGGAAGCCUGAUGCAGCAACGCCGCGUGCGGGAUGACGGCCUUCGGGUUGUAAACCGCUUUCGCCUGUGACGAAGCGUGAGUGACGGUAAUGGGUAAAGAAGCACCGGCUAACUACGUG
rnacentral:rRNA from 1 species